GCCCAGGUGGCGGAAUUGGUAGACGCGCACGUUUCAGGUGCGUGUGUUUAUAACGUGCAGGUUCGAGUCCUGUUCUGGGCACUA
rnacentral:tRNA from 5 species